GGGUUGUGAGGUUAAGCGACUAAGCGUACACGGUGGAUGCCCUGGCAGUCAGAGGCGAUGAAGGACGUGCUAAUCUGCGAUAAGCGUCGGUAAGGUGAUAUGAACCGUUAUAACCGGCGAUUUCCGAAUGGGGAAACCCAGUGUGAUUCGUCACACUAUCAUUAACUGAAUCCAUAGGUUAAUGAGGCGAACCGGGGGAACUGAAACAUCUAAGUACCCCGAGGAAAAGAAAUCAACCGAGAUUCCCCCAGUAGCGGCGAGCGAACGGGGAGCAGCCCAGAGCCUGAAUCAGUGUGUGUGUUAGUGGAAGCGUCUGGAAAGGCGCGCGAUACAGGGUGACAGCCCCGUACACAAAAAUGCACAUGCUGUGAGCUCGAUGAGUAGGGCGGGACACGUGGUAUCCUGUCUGAAUAUGGGGGGACCAUCCUCCAAGGCUAAAUACUCCUGACUGACCGAUAGUGAACCAGUACCGUGAGGGAAAGGCGAAAAGAACCCCGGCGAGGGGAGUGAAAAAGAACCUGAAACCGUGUACGUACAAGCAGUGGGAGCACAGAGCAAUCUGUGUGACUGCGUACCUUUUGUAUAAUGGGUCAGCGACUUAUAUUCUGUAGCAAGGUUAACCGAAUAGGGGAGCCGAAGGGAAACCGAGUCUUAACUGGGCGUUAAGUUGCAGGGUAUAGACCCGAAACCCGGUGAUCUAGCCAUGGGCAGGUUGAAGGUUGGGUAACACUAACUGGAGGACCGAACCGACUAAUGUUGAAAAAUUAGCGGAUGACUUGUGGCUGGGGGUGAAAGGCCAAUCAAACCGGGAGAUAGCUGGUUCUCCCCGAAAGCUCUUUAGGUAGCGCCUCGUGAAUUCAUCUCCGGGGGUAGAGCACUGUUUCGGCAAGGGGGUCAUCCCGACUUACCAACCCGAUGCAAACUGCGAAUACCGGAGAAUGUUAUCACGGGAGACACACGGCGGGUGCUAACGUCCGUCGGGCAGAGGGAAACAACCCAACCCGCCAGC
rnacentral:rRNA from 1 species